rnacentral:rRNA from 1 species
GAUGAACGCUGGCGGCGUGCCUAAUACAUGCAAGUCGAGCGAACAGACGAGGAGCUUGCUCCUCUGACGUUAGCGGCGGACGGGUGAGUAACACGUGGAUAACCUACCUAUAAGACUGGGAUAACUUCGGGAAACCGGAGCUAAUACCGGAUAAUAUAUUGAACCGCAUGGUUCAAUAGUGAAAGACGGUUUUGCUGUGACUUAUAGAUGUAUCCGCGCCGCAUUAGCUAGUUGGUAAGGUAACGGCUUACCAAGGCAACGAUGCGUAGCCGACCUGAGAGGGUGAUCGGCCACACUGGAACUGGGACACGGUCCAGACUCCUACGGGAGGCAGCAGUAGGGAAUCUUCCGCAAUGGGCGAAAGCCUGACGGAGCAACGCCGCGUGAGUGAUGAAGGUCUUCGGAUCGUAAAACUCUGUUAUUAGGGAAGAACAAAUGUGUAAGUAACUAUGCACGUCUUGACGGUACCUAAUCAGAAAGCCACGGCUAACUACGUG